AACGAACGCUGGCGGCAGGCUUAACACAUGCAAGCCGAACGCAUCCUUCGGGGUGAGUGGCAGACGGGUGAGUAACGCGUGGGAACGUGCCCUUCAGUUCGGGAUAACCCAGGGAAACUUGGGCUAAUACCGGAUACGUGCGAGAGCAGAAAGAUUUAUCGCUGAAGGAUCGGCCCGCGUCUGAUUAGCUAGUUGGUGGGGUAAUGGCCCACCAAGGCGACGAUCAGUAGCUGGUCUGAGAGGAUGAUCAGCCACAUUGGGACUGAGACACGGCCCAAACUCCUACGGGAGGCAGCAGUGGGGAAUAUUGGACAAUGGGCGCAAGCCUGAUCCAGCCAUGCCGCGUGAGUGAUGAAGGCCCUAGGGUUGUAAAGCUCUUUCGCCAGGGACGAUAAUGACGGUACCUGGAUAAGAAGCCCCGGCUAACUUCGUGCCAGCAGCCGCCGUAA
rnacentral:rRNA from 1 species